CAUCCCCGCAGGCUCCGCCCCCAAUGGCCGCCCGGGGAGAGGCUGCGGCCACGAGGUUAAUUUACUGGACAAUGCCUGUUGCAGUGACAGCCUAUCCGUCUCUUUUAUUAAGAUGCCCACGCACAAAACAGGCAGUGAUGGCCUCGGCCGGGUGCUCAGCGGGUUAGCGCGUCCUCUCACACGCCGAGGUUGCAGCUUCCAUCCCGCGUCAGGGCACAUACAAGAACCCACCAACGAAAAACAAACAACAAAAAACAAUCAACCCACAAAUGCAUAAAAGUUUUCUUAGAGGGGAAAUCUGCAUCUUAGCUUGUUUGCCAACAUACUGCUUGUUUGACACAUCGUUUAAUUUCAUCUUCAUUUCCACUAACUCAACAUAAUAAGAGACUCAGAUGAAGGAGGCACAGGCAAUACAAACAUCAAAAGAGUGAGGACGCUCCAAGGAGGACAUAACGGAGGCCAAUAGACAGAUGCACCCGAAAGGCAAACAGUCCGAGAGCAGGACUGAUGAGCGUUGACCCAAAUGGCAGGGAGAGAAAUAUUAUCCGCGAUGGACAUGCACCUCUCAGUAGAAAUUAAUGGAAAAAAUAUCCUUGUGUGAGGAUUAACAACAACAAAAAAAAAAAGUUAAAAAAAAUCAAGAGCUUUGUGGCAGGUGUGUGGCAGAGCAGAGGAAAGGGGGCUGGUCUGUGCCCUGGUAAACAUGGGGCUUCAGGGGCACCUCGGGCCCGAGCUCCAGGACUGUGAGCAGUGACAGCAGUAUUCCAGAGACCCCUCUGAACCCUUCAGGGCUUUGGGGUGUUCCAGUUACAGCCGUCAGCUCACCCAGUCCCCAGGACCCUUACAGGAGUCGGAGCAGAGUUACCUCCACCGAACAGGUGAAAACACGAAGGUGUAGAAGUCAUCAGGCUCUUUCUUAUGGCCCAUACAUCGUGGGGGACUGAAGAGGGACUUGUCACCCGUGAUUCAGGUGACAUCUAUAAAUGCAGUUCGACUUUA